rnacentral:rRNA from 1 species
GUCCACGCCGUAAACGUUGGGCACUAGGUGUGGGUCUCAACCAACGAGAUCCGCGCCGUCGCUAACGCAUUAAGUGCCCCGCCUGGGGAGUACGGUCGCAAGACUAAAACUCAAAGGAAUUGACGGGGGCCCGCACAAGCAGCGGAGCGUGUUGCUUAAUUCGAUGCAACGCGAAGAACCUUACCUGGGUUUGACAUGUCGGGAAAAGCUCUAGAGAUAGGGUGUCCUUCGGGGCCCGACACAGGUGGUGCAUGGCUGUCGU